GGGGGAAAGAAAAUGAAAGCAGACGACAAUCGAGCAGGUUCUCCGUCUGACACUGAACUCUCGGACAAAGAGGGAAAACUCAUUCUGGUGUUAAAGUGGUCUGAUUCAGUGAAAAGAGACCCACACCAUCUGGAGAAAUCUAUUAAACCAUGGUUAAAAAAAGAGAAACAAGACUUAAAGUGGUCAGUUAUCAAGAUCCUGGAGGACAACAAUGCUCUGAUAAAGUUUAAACCCCACACAGCUGCAGAUAUUUUUCAGAGAUUAUGUGGUAAAAAACUGCAUCUUCCCGGUAUGAAACCAGUCACUGUAGAGUCAGUCAUUCUGGACUCACCAAAGCUCAACACUCAAACAU